UAUAUGGGGGUUUCCCUUGAAGUGAUUCUACCUGUCUAGGGAUGACAUUGUACCACUUCGUUCACAUUAUAAAAAAAAAUUCUUGCAUGUCUCAUUGUAGGAGUGCCUCCUGUUUUCCAGGGCAUCCUUUGGCAGUGCCCUCAGAAUGAAGAAGGAUUCUCUGGGAACCUCAGUUUGUCUUCAUAAGAACAGCUGGUCCAGCACAAAUUGCAUGGGCUUGGUGCCCAGUGAAAGGAAAUGAGAGAAAAGUGCUACUGGGAGCAAAACGAGGCUUCAAUGAAAUUCCAAAUCCACACAGUCACCAAAAGACCAAAGAGGUCCAUCUUGAGCCACCUAUUUCAGCAUGAGGGAAGGACUGAUCUCCUGACCUGUUUAAGCUGCAAAGAAGAGUGCUCUUUGCUGAAGCUGAUGUGACUGAGAAGAUAUCCUGGAGGUUGGGGCUGAACGGAAGGCUGGAAGGUGAGCAGUAGAGUUGAGACUCUGGGGGAGCAAACAGUUUCAGAAGGUCUACAUGGCCAGUGAGGAGCUCCUUAGUGAGCUAGCACAGAAGA